UACGGAGGGAGCUAGCGUUGUUCGGAAUUACUGGGCGUAAAGCGCGCGUAGGCGGUUAUUCAAGUCAGAGGUGAAAGCCCGGAGCUCAACUCCGGAACGGCCUUUGAAACUAGAUGACUAGAAUCUUGGAGAGGUCAGUGGAAUUCCGAGUGUAGAGGUGAAAUUCGUAGAUAUUCGGAAGAACACCAGUGGCGAAGGCGACUGACUGGACAAGUAUUGACGCUGAGGUGCGAAAGCGUGGGGAGCAAACAGG
rnacentral:rRNA from 1 species